rnacentral:rRNA from 1 species
AGAGUUUGAUCCUGGCUCAGGACGAACGCUGGCGGCGUGCCUAACACAUGCAAGUCGAGCGGGGAUAUAUGCUGGAGCGCUUCGGUGUGAAGGGAUAUAUCCUAGCGGCGGACGGGUGAGUAACGCGUGGGGAACCUGCCCUUAAGUUCGGGAUACCAACUCGAAAGGGUUGUUAAUACCGGAUGUGCUGCAUUAGCCGCAUGGCGGAUGUAGUAAAGGGGAGACCCGCUUAAGGAUGGCCCUGCGUUCCAUUAGCUAGUUGGUGGGGUAACGGCCUACCAAGGCGACGAUGGAUAGCCGGCCUGAGAGGGCGACCGGCCACACUGGGACUGAGACACGGCCCAGACUCCUACGGGGGGCAGCAGUGGGGAAUCUUGCACAAUGGGCGGAAGCCUGAUGCAGCGACGCCGCGUGAGGGACGAAGGUCUUCGGAUCGUAAACCUCUGUCCAAAGGGACGAAGGAGUGACGGUACCUUUGGAGGAAGCCCCGGCCAACUACGUGCCAGCAGCCGCGGUAAGACGUAGGGGGCGAGCGUUGUCCGGAAUCAUUGGGCGUAAAGGGCGCGUAGGCGGUGACGUAAGUCAGGCGUGAAAGGCAUCGGCUCAACCGACGCACAUAGCCUGAUACUACGUUGCUAGAGUGCAGGAGAGGAGAGUGGAAUUCCAGGUGUAGCGGUGAAAUGCGUAGAUAUCUGGAAGAACACCAGUGGCGAAGGCGGCUCUCUGGACUGUAACUGACGCUGAGGCGCGAAAGCUGGGGGAGCAAACAGGAUUAGAUACCCUGGUAGUCCCAGCCGUAAACGAUGAACACUAGGUGUAGGGGGUAUCGACCCCUCCUGUGCCGCAGUUAACGCAGUAAGUGUUCCGCCUGGGGAGUACGGCCGCAAGGCUGAAACUCAAAGGAAUUGACGG